AUGGAGAUGGAGACCGUGGCGUGGGCGGCGAGGAGGUCGAUGCAGGAGGCCGCGGCGUCGUACGCGCGGUCCACGGCGAGGUCGGUCGAGACCAUCGUGGUGAUCGUGGCGGCCAUCGUGCUCGCCGCGGCGCUCGCGGGCGUUCUCGCGCGGGCGUGCGGCGGGAGGCACGUGGCGGACCGCGACGUCGAGGGGUGGGUGGAGCGCCGCUGCCGGAGCUGCCUCGACAGCGGCCUGCCGCCGCCAGCAACAUCAUCAUCCAAGGCCAGUGACGCCAAAUAG
rnacentral:rRNA from 1 species